rnacentral:rRNA from 1 species
GGGAGUUGUCGCUGGUCUCUCGAGGCAUCGUGCACGCUCUUCUUUCCUUCAUUCAUCUACCCCCAUGUGCACUUACUGUAGGCCGAGAAAUUCGGCCUAUGUAUUUUAUUACACCCCAUAAAAGUUUAAUGAAUGUUUCAAAUAAGAUCGAGGACGCGAGUCUUUUGAUUUUAAUAAUAAAUUAUACAACUUUCAACAACGGAUCUCUUGGCUCUCGCAUCGAUGAAGAACGCAGCGAAAUGCGAUAAGUAAUGUGAAUUGCAGAAUUCAGUGAAUCAUCGAAUCUUUGAACGCACCUUGCGCCCCUUGGUAUUCCGAGGGGCAUGCCUGUUUGAGUGUCAUUAAAUUAUCAACUCGAAAAUCUUGCAUUUUCGAUGUUUGGAAUUGGAGCGUGCAGGGCCCUAUGAGGCUCUGCUCCUCUUGAAAUGCAUUAGUGGAACUUCUGAUUGCAGACCUGCUCCAGCGUGAUAAUUAUCUACGUUGCGGUAGUGAAGUCGGAGGAUCUGCUUACAACCGUUGCAUAUAUGCGCAACAAAACUCAUGACAAUUUGACCUCAAAUCAGGUAGGAUUACCCGCUGAACUUAAGCAUAUCAAUAAGCGGAGGAAAAGAAACUAACAAGGAUUCCCCUAGUAACUGCGAGUGAAGCGGGAAAAGCUCAAAUUUAAAAUCUGGCGGCCCCUGUGACUGUCCGAGUUGUAAUCUAGAGAAGUGUUAUCCGUGCCGGACCGUGUACAAGUCUCUUGGAAUAGAGCGUCAUAGAGGGUGAGAAUCCCGUCUUUGACACGGACUACCGGUGCAUUGUGAUGCGCUCUCAACGAGUCGAGUUGUUUGGGAAUGCAGCUCAAAAUGGGUGGUAAAUUCCUUCUUAAGCUAAAUAUUGGCGAAAGACCGAUAGCGAACAAGUNCCGUGAGGGAAAGAUGAAAAGAACUUUGGAAAGAGAGUUAAACAG